rnacentral:tRNA from 1 species
GAGUUGUUAGUCCAAACAAGACAGCUGAUUUCGACUCAGCAAAUUGUGGUUUAACUCCACAACUACUCU